CCCAAAUGUUCACGGUCUCACUAGUGGGAAGAUCCAUGCACCUGAGAACAAGAGAUCAGACUUAGACUGUUGGAUUUGCUUCUUACCAGCUUGUGAAGCAUUGAGCAAAAUGCUUAAAUCCUCCAGGCCUCAGUUUCCCCUCUAUUAAAUGGAGAUUGCUAUCUACCUCAUAGGGCUAGAGUGAGGAUUAAAGGAAUUAAUUCCUAUUAAAUGCUUCGAAGAGUUGCUGACACAUAGUAGUGCUCAGUAAAUGGCUGCGACACCUUGGUUUCUUCUUUAAAGUGGGAGUUAUCAGACCGAAUUUCACUACUUCUGAGGAUUGUGGAGCAGGAGGAAUGAGCUAAUAGAGCCCAUUCAAGAAUUACCUGAGUUGUUCCCUUGGAAAACCAUGGCCUAAGAAGAUCCAAUGAGCGUCACAAGAUGGAUGAAGUCCAAGUAGCUUUCUUAAGACAAGCGGUGGAAGCCACAUGGUGAGGAUGGUGGAGCAAUGAAACAUAAGAUGUCACCUUACUAGUCUUGGACUGCUUACUUCUGGAUUCUGCUAUAUGAGAGACAAAUAGACCUCUAUAUUGUCUGAGCUCUGUUAUUUCAGAUUUUUUGUCUUUCAGAGUUGACAUAAAUCUUAACUGAUGUAAGAUCACACAGCUAGUUACUAGUACAGCUGAGCUUUAAGCUCAGUUCUUUUGACUCCAAAUUCAGUUGUUUUUAUUUUGCUUCGUCGCAACUGGCAUCUUCACUUGCCUUACUUACAGAGCUUCUGUGAAAAUGAAAUGAGGAAACAGGUAAGAGAGCACUUUGUAAACUGUGAGGCCUCAUUUAUAUGUGAGCAGAAGCAGAAUUUUGCAUUUGUGGAGAGCUGUGGAAAAAUACUUAAUGCCUUAGCUUGCUUGUUGGUUGAACAGGUAGGGGGGAAAAAAAACAAAAAGCCAUGUUGUGCUAGAGACCUGGAUUCCACAUGCACCGGAAACUCCUUUGGCUAAUUCUUAGGCCAAAAGAUGCCUUUCAAGUGGGGAAGGAUGAGUUAGUCCUGAGCGUCCAGGACCUCUCUGACUAGCUGUGGUUUAAUGCUGCCCAAACUUUUGUGUAAACACACCUACAGCCUAAGUAAAAUAGGAAGGAUUGGGGAUCUGAAUUGCCCUACUUGGGAUAUUCUCUGUGUCCAACAACUCCUCAUGAAGGAAAUUGUAUUAGUAAUAAGUCAAAUUCCUAGUGCUGGAAUUUGAGUUGCUUCAGGAGUGAGUGCAAGGUUUUCAGAGGCUUGUUUGCUUUAUGAAGAGUAUUGGGGUCAGUCUUUGCUGGCCAGAGGUCUCUAACCAGAGACAGGUUUUCACACAGGGCUUUUCAUAUUUUCUGUCUUGAGCCAGACUCAAAUACCGAGAAGUCUCUUGGGGGUAUUUUUGCAAGUUCACUCUUUUUCUUUCACAACUGGCAAAGGCAACAAAAGCCAAUGCUUAGAAGGUAUGCAUAUGCUCUGAACACUUUGUUCAGACUCCUUUGAAAGUUAUUGGGUUGCAUCCCGAAGCAAACAUUUGGAACAUUCUGGAGUUGUUUUGAGUCCUCAUCGCAUGAUUCAAGUCUGAUAAUACCCCACUAUGAAAAUAUAGGGCAAAAUAUAGUCACAGCUCAAGAGGCAAGUCAAGGAAUUACAGUCGCUGUUAGGAGUAGGGUGAGGAAAUCAUAAUCAUAAUAAUAUCUGACACUCAAUGAGCAUAUUUAUGCAGCAGACACUAUACUAGCCCUUUACAUAUGUUGUUUUACUUGAUCCUCCUAACAGUUCUAUGUGCCAGAAUGAUUAAAAAUAUUUAACAGCAAGUAGAACACAGCAUUGGUAGGUGAG
ensembl:lncRNA